UACGUAGGGUGCGAGCGUUAAUCGGAAUUACUGGGCGUAAAGCGCGCGCAGGCGGCGGUGCUGGCCCGGCGUGAAAGCCCCCGGCUCAACCGGGGAGGGUCGUCGGGGACCGCACCGCUUGAGGGCGGUAGGGGCUGGUGGAAUGCCUGGUGUAGUGGUGAAAUGCGUAGAGAUCAGGCGGAACACCCGUGGCGAAGGCGGCCAGCUGGGCCGUCCCUGACGCUGAGGCGCGAAGGCGUGGGGAGCGAACAGG
rnacentral:rRNA from 1 species